rnacentral:tRNA from 1 species
GGUGGCUCUGUGGUAGAGUGCUUGCCUUGCAUGCAUGAGGCCUUGGGUUCGAUUCCUCAGCACCA